UUUUAAAGGAAUUUUAGCAGAUCCAAUAUUUAUUUAGACUAAAUAAAUGUGAUGAUAAAUAAAAUUAAAAAUACAAAAUUCACAUGGUUCACGUAAACCAAUCCAUUAAUAAACCAAUCUACCAAUAAACACCCAAAUACUCACUCCUUGAAACCCAAAUACUCACAUCCCAAAGACUUUCUUGUAAAGGACACACUCUACACUCCACAUAUUGUUACAUAUUGUACAGAGAAGCAAUUACUGCUUGUACAUAUUAAGUGUUUUUGGCAACAAAUGCUUGAAUAUGGUUGGUCACAUAUAUCAUCAACCAACUUUUCACCUUCCUCGUUAAAGCUUAAUUAGUAAGCUCAUGUAUGAACAACCAACUUUUUGAUAACCAAAUAGAGCUUAAUUGGGAAGCUCUAUAUGCGAGCCAACCGAAUGUACUAGGUUGUACCAUAAACUCAAGUUACCAUCAGAUGACUGUUACUAAAUUGUUUUCGAGGUGUAUUUAAUGAAGUCUUGAUUGGCUUCCAAGAUUAGGUGGUCAUCAUCUUCCCCUUCAUCACGAUAAGUAUAUGGUCGAAGGCGCUUGAGGAUGGUACUUGCAUAAAACAUUCGCAUUCUCCAUUCUUCAAACCCUUCACACCCGCAUAGAGCUCCAAGCCAGUUGCUCAACUCAAACUGCAACAAGAUAUGCAAAGAUAAGAGAUGACCUAAAUUUAUUAGCAAAGGUUUUGAUGAAGAUUUCACAACCUCUCCAUCCUUGCCAGAUGAUGAUAAAAUGGACAUUUACCAAACAAAACAUUAUCAAAGAAAUAAGGUGUCUAUUUGCAAGGGUUACCCCAGAAUCACCCAUGUUAUGAGUGUAACUUUUUGGAACGUUUGAAGCUUCAAGUUGCAGGUAGAAGGCUUCAACAUCUUCCAUCAUCUCCUCUUUUGACGGAAGAUCAAUCCUACCCGAUAACACACCAGCAAUCCACUUGCUUUGAAGUUCAAACAUUGCGAAAGGGAAAAUCUAGCACAAAUUACAUGCAGAGUGUUAUUUUUACAGUUAAAAUUAUCAUAUCAAAACAAACCUCUGACUUCUGAGUAGAACCUUCCGUGGUAUCCCAACAAAGGAAAGAAAUGGGGCCAAAGAUGGUGGGAAAACAUGCUUGUAUAACGGUCCCACACGAUUAUCAUCCACAGUCACAAUGCCAUUGGUUUCAAGAAAAGGGAAGUGAUACUUGUACCCCGUGCAAUGUAGAAUUAUGUCAGCUACAACAACCCUCCCAUUUCUGAAGACCACAGAACCAUCAUCAUGGACUCUUUCAAUCAUAGAAUGAAACCACAUAUUAUCAUAUCCAGUCCGCUGUUCAUAUGUUUCAUCUGUAACUGAUCUUGCAGCAACAUGGACCUCCUUGGCAACCCCAGCAAUUUCCCUGCUUAUCUCAGCAGCACUUAAUGAACUCCCAAUCAAAAUUACCACUUGAUCUCGAAAGAGGUCCGGAACACGGUAAUUGUGGCUAUGCAUUUGCUUCCCUGGCCAAGAACUGAUGCCUGGCAUUUGAGCAACACAAGGUUCAGUGUAAUGCCCAUUGCAAACAACAACAGCAUCAUAAAUUUCAUCUUCAAAAUCAAAGUAAGGACCAUCACUAUUUGCUCUCUUCUUUUUAGACCUCACUUUCCACUUGUUACUGUCCUCUACUAACCCGACAUAAACCACCUCAGUCUCUAACCUCACCAUAUCCUCAAUCUUAAACUCCCUCGCAAAAUCUUGCAAGUAGAAUAACACCUCUCGGUGACCUGGGUACCUUCUCGGGUCUCUCGUUUUAUCGGUUUUUGCUAUAAACGGGUAGUCUCUGAAACCCAUUACUUCUCUGGGGAGGUUGGUGCGGAGAGAGCUGUAGAGGCUCGAGUGGAUUAUGAGUCUGUUAGGAUCGAGGCUCAACGGGUCUGGUUCGACCCGGGGAUCGUACACCCAUGUGCCGCCUAUUUGGUUUUCUCGUUCGAAGACUACGACUUUGUGGCCCUCUCGGCGGAGCUCACGUGCAGCAACAAGGCCCGAGGCGCCGGCGCCGAUCACGGCCACAUUUCUGGAGAUGAGAGAAAUUGGCAUUGAGGAAGCACUGACGAUUGCUAGAGGCCGUAGUUG
rnacentral:misc_RNA from 1 species